UAAUACGUAGGGACCAAGCGUUGUUCGGAUUUACUGGGCGUAAAGGGCGCGUAGGCGGCGUGACAAGUCACUUGUGAAAUCUCUGGGCUUAACCCAGAACGGCCAAGUGAAACUGUUGUGCUAGAGUGCAGAAGGGGCAAUCGGAAUUCUCGGUGUAGCGGUGAAAUGCGUAGAUAUCGAGAGGAACACCAGAGGUGAAGACGGGUUGCUGGGCUGACACUGACGCUGAGGCGCGAAAGCCAGGGGAGCAAACGGGAUUAGAUACCCCGGUAGUCCUGGCCCUAAACGAUGAAUACUUGGUGUCUGGAGUUAUUAGUGCUCCGGGUGCCGUCGCUAACGUUUUUAGUAUUCCGCCUGGGGAGUACGCUCGCAAGAGUG
rnacentral:rRNA from 1 species